ACAAAGGGGAGCUUGGCCUUCUCUUCCCAGUUCUUCCUGGAAUCAGGAAAAGCUGGGUUGAGAGGGCAAAAAAAAAAAAAAA
rnacentral:pre_miRNA from 12 species